rnacentral:rRNA from 1 species
UUAAAGUCUAAUCUGCCCUAUGAAGGGUUAAAUGGCCGCGGUAUUUUGACCGUGCAAAGGUAGCAUAAUAAUUAGUUUUUUAAUUGAAAGCUGGAAUGAACGAUUGGACGAGAAAAUAACUGUCUCAAUUUAAUUUUAUUAGAAUUUUAUUUUUAAGUAAAAAAGCUUAAAUUUUAUUGAAAGACGAGAAGACCCUAUAGAGUUUUAUAGUUAAUUUUUUGUUAAUUUUUUAGUUUAUUUUUAUUAAUAAUUGAUUAUUUAUUUUGUUGGGGCGAUAGAAAAAUAUUAGUAACUUUUUUUAAUUUAUUAACAUUAAUUUAUGAUUUUAUGAUCCAUUUAGUAUGAUUAGAAGAUUAAGUUACCUUAGGGAUAACAGCGUAAUUUUUUUUUAGAGUUCUUAUCGAAAAAAGAGAUUGCGACCUCGAUGUUGGAUUAAAAUUUAUGUUAGGUGUAGAAGCUUAAUAAUUAGGUCUGUUCGACCUUUGAAAUUUUACA